rnacentral:tRNA from 1 species
GCCCGGGUAGCUCAGUUAGUAGAGCGUCAGAUUUUAAUCUGAGGGUCUAGGGUUCAAGUCCCUGUGCAGGUG